CAGUAGUCAUAUGCUUGUCUCAAAGAUUAAGCCAUGCAUGUAUUAGUUUAAAUAUUUUAUAGUAAAACUGCGAAUGGCUCAUUACAACGGUAAUAGUUUACUUGAUGUAUAACUACUUGGAUAACUGUAGUAAUUCUAGAGCUAAUACAUACAUUGGGGUCACCCCCGUGUUUAUUAGAUAACCGAGAGGCCUUCGGGUCAUUGGUGAGUCAUGAUAAAUUUACGAAUCGAGUUUCGAUGUUUCAAACAAGUUUCCGCCCCAUCAGGUUUGAUUGUUGUGUAUUGGACUACAAUGCCAGUCACGGGUAACGAGGAAUUAGGGUUCGAUUUCGGAGAGGGAGUCUGAGAAACGGCUACCACAUCUAAGGAAGGCAGCAGGCGCGCAAAUUACCCAAUGCAAAUUAUGUGAGGUAGUGACAAGAAAUAACAAUGCAGAACCAUAGGUUUUGUAAUUGGAAUGAGUACAAUUUAAAAACUUUAACGAGGAUCUACUGGAGGGCAAGUCUGGUGCCAGCAGCCGCGGUAAUACCAGCUCCAGAAGCAUAUAUUAAAGUUGUUGCAGUUGAAACGCUCGUAGUCAGAUUUUAUAUGGUGUAUUUCAGUUCGCUGUUAUACCCAACUAAUCGGUCGCCCCACUGAUCUAGUAUCGGUGGGAUCACGAACGAUUUUUCACCUUGAUGAAUUUAGAGUGUUCAAAGCAGGCUAUGCCUGAAUACUUUCGCAUGGAAUGAGUUCAAAAUCUUUUUGUUUUUGUUUCGGUGUGACAAUUAGAGGUAUCAUUAGGAACAGUCGAGGGCAUUUGUACUUGAUUGCGAGAGGUGAAAUUCUUGGACCAAUCAAUGACAAACAAAAGCGAAAGCAUCUGUCAAGGAUGUUUUCUUUGAUCAAGAACGAAGGUCAGGGGAUCGAAGACGAUCAGAUACCGUCCUAGUCCUGACUAUAAACUAUGCCAACCGCUAUUCGGUAAUUAAAUUCUUAAUUAUUUAUCGGGAAGCAGAGAGAAAUCAGAGUUUUUGGGUUCUGGGGGUAGUAUGGUCGCAAGGCUGAAACUUGAAGGAAUUGACGGAAGGGCACCACCAGGCGUGGAGCUUGCGGCUUAAUUUGACUCAACACGGGAAAACUUACCAGGUUA
rnacentral:rRNA from 1 species